UACGUAGGUGGCAAGCGUUGUCCGGAUUUAUUGGGUUUAAAGGGUGCGUAGGCGGUCCCAUAAGUCAGUGGUGAAAUACUCUAGCUUAACUAGAGGGGUGCCAUUGAUACUGUGGGACUUGAGUAGAGUCGAGGUGGGCGGAAUUGACGGUGUAGCGGUGAAAUGCUUAGAUAUCGUCAAGAACACCAAUAGUGAAGACAGCUCACUAGGCUGAAACUGACGCUGAGGCACGAAAGUGUGGGGAUCAAACAGG
rnacentral:rRNA from 1 species